UACGGGGGGGGUAAGCGUUGUUCGGAAUUACUGGGCGUAAAGGGCUCGUAGGCGGCCAACUAAGUCAGACGUGAAAUCCCUCAGCUUAACUGGGGAACUGCGUCUGAUACUGGAUGGCUUGGAUUCGGGAGAGGAAUGCGGAAUUCCAGGUGUAGCGGUGAAAUGCGUAGAUAUCUGGAGGAACACCGGUGGCGAAGGCGGCAUUCUGGACCGAUAUUGACGCUGAGGAGCGAAAAGCCAGGGGAGCAA
rnacentral:rRNA from 1 species